rnacentral:rRNA from 1 species
CAACUUGAGAGUUUGAUCCUGGCUCAGAACGAACGCUGGCGGCAGGCUUAACACAUGCAAGUCGAGCGCCCCUCCUUCAAGCAAGCUUGAAGGUCCUUUGGCCGAAGGCCAGGAAAGAGGAUCAAGAAAGCCGAGCUUUCUUGAUGGAGGGGAGCGGCAGACGGGUGAGUAACGCGUGGGAAUCUACCUAGCUCUACGGAAUAACCCAGGGAAACUUGGACUAAUACCGUAUACGUCCGAGAGGAGAAAGAUUUAUCGGAGUUAGAUGAGCCCGCGUUGGAUUAGCUAGUUGGUGGGGUAAAGGCCUACCAAGGCGACGAUCCAUAGCUGGUCUGAGAGGAUGAUCAGCCACACUGGGACUGAGACACGGC